rnacentral:lncRNA from 1 species
UGUUCUUAGUACUACCUUCGUGAUCCCACACUCCUAAUCAUAUAAGCUAAAGUAUUGCACAUUCAAUCUUUGAAAGAUAUAAACAAAACAUAAAUAUAGAUAGAUUAUCUUUCCAUUAGGUUGAGCCAUCUGAUCUAACAAAUGUUUUAAAUGCUACACUCAUGAUCCAUCAACUUUGUCUUGCUCACUAUGCUUAAGGUUAGAGAAGAACAAAUACACUUUUGGUUCUGUUGGUGUUUUCCACCAACAGGGCCCAUGCACUUGAUCUCUGCCUUGUCUCUAUGAGCAGGACACAUUUUGAGAAACGUGAAGGCAUUUUACAACUCCCAGAUUCCAUCAAGUGAAGAACCGGGAUCUACGAGCACAAACACAAUGGAGAUCAGACACUUAGUUUCCCAAAGGAAUAUUGAAGAACCUCUAUGUCCGAGUUGGUACCUUGUACGCUCCAGCAAACUUCGUGGUGAUAGAGACUGGUAGUGAGGAAGGGACACCCAUCAUCUUAGGGAGGCCAUUCCUAAACACCAGAAGUGUCAUCUACGCUAAUGCUGCCAAGAUCAGUCUCUACAUCAAUGAAGAAGGAGAUUUUCCUUCAAGAAUAAGACUACAUAAACUUCAGAGCAAUCCCGACAUGAACCAAGGAAGAGGACCAACAGGAGGAACAGGAACAAGCAAAUGUGGACCAAGUCAGCUAAGAUGGUCACUGCAGCUCAAGGAGGUCAAGAUCGUCGACUCAAGUCACCUUUCUUGAUCAAGAAGGACGACUCUGGUGUUCCAAGAAUCGAAUGCACAAACAAUGGAUACUCUUUUUAGAAGACACUCUACGACACCGGAUCUGACGACAACAUAAUAGCCGCAGUCACUUAUCAGCUCUUGCAUGGAACCAUGCCCCUACAACCAAGAUACAUUCAGCUUCAAACAAUUUUCAGGUCAUUAACAUGGGAGAAGACAAGUAUGAUUCACCCACCAUCCUUGGAAGACCGUUCCUCAACACUAUCAAAGCAAUCAUCUACAUUGGAACCGGAGAUGUCCACAUGCACUUCCCCUCUGAGAAGGGGAGACAAAUCAUCAAGGACGGAUGGGUAGACUACGAAGGAGAAAUGAUAAGGACUGAAGACAUACAGCUUGAAUACAACUAUCCUGAGGAGACCGUAGCACCGAGUCAGGUGUGACAAGAGAAGAUAGUUAUACACGAAGAGGAGACGCCGCCGGAACCACCGACUACGCCACCCAGUGAAUCCCAGGACGACUGAGAAAACAGAGAGUCCUGUUCGGAGGACUUAAAAAUACCGAACGCCUUGCCAAGAGGUAAACUUGGUAGUUAUCCUUUUCCUUUUAAUUAUUCAAUUAUAGUUUGCUUAGUUAAUCAUCUUCACACUAUCUUAAAAAGAAAAUAAAAAUGUGAAAAAAAAAUUGUAAGCCCCAUGUGAGUAGACGAGUGGCAUAAAACCCAUAAGUACAUUCACUGUGGUGGCAUAAAAAUAAAUAUCUUUUCUGCUUUAUAAAGACAAAAAUAUAAAAACAGAGAGUAACAAUUAUUAAGGAGUCUUAACAUGAUAAAGGCUAGAUAUUUAUGCUAACACUUAAUCAGUUCCACAAGCUAUGUUGUCUAUUUGAGCUCCACAGAAUUUAAGAAUCAAGAAGACUAGCAGACGGAGGACAUUCUAAUCACUGUCAGAAUGUUGCUGACUUUCAAAUACACCUCUGCCACCUGCUAGCUACAUCAAGAGAAAUUACGUCAAAAUUCAGCUUGGGGGAGAGCACCCCCAUUUAUCUCGAUAAGUAUUUCUAUCUAUCUUUAUACUUAUAUUAUUUUAGAAUAUAAAUACACAUAAACUAUGGAAAACCAAAUAAAGAUUUUAUGCUUAUAUAUAUGUCUUUUGCUUAGUGUGUUUAAUAAAUAAAUAAAGUAGCUAUGCCAAUCUGUAUCUAAAUAAAACUUAAGCAUGGAUAUGAUAAAUAGUUGCUCUGCCUAAUUUGCAAAUUUUAAAUUCUCUCUCAAGUUUAGAUAUAACUGUUAUAAUUUAAAGCUUGCUCUAGACCUAAACUUGUAGGAUGAAAACUUGAUCUGAAGUCUAAGUUGUUAACGGAUACGAUAUGGGAAGGUUGAGCUGUUGUUUAUCUGUUCCUAGAGAUGCUAGAAUUCUGGAGAAUUUUAUCUUUGAAAAUCUUUAAAACGUUGCAUGAUGAGAGUUUAAAUUCCUACCACAGCCAUAUAUACAUGCUUGCUAGACUUUGAGCCACACAUUUACUAUUUACUGCUUAUGAGCAUUGAGUGUGGUCAAGCUGUGUAGACCCUUAGGAGCUUGUCAUGUGGUUAAAUCAAGAUUCACUUGCACGUUCACUCAUAUAUGCUACUUCUACUCCGGAAGUACCAUCCACAUAUAUCCACCCAUUCCAUCUCCAGAAUCACCCAAAAAUAUUCUACUCCUAAUCCGGGAGAGAAUAACCAAAAAUAUUUCUGUUUUCCCCUUGUGAAAUAAAUGCUCAAGUUAUCUUGUUACUACCACUUGCUAUAUUAUCUCAAGAGAUGAAUGCUCUGAAAAAAAAAGAGAAAAAAAAGAGAUACGAGGAAAUAAAAAGGAGCAAGUGCUCGGAACCUCGAAAGAAAAGAAAAAGUGAGACGAGAGGUAAAAAUGGACAAGUGUCCGACAGUAGAAUUAGGGGUGCAAGAUACCCACCUGAGAGAAAAAAAAGAAGAGCAUCUCAUUCUCCUCAUAAAGUUUCAAAAGCAAGGAAGGUAUGUAUCCCCUCAAAGAGCAAAGUAGAAUUAGACUUCCACCGCCAUUACUUCCACCAUUGUUAUCACCAUCAUCACCAUACAUCAUUUAUUCGCCACACAUGCACAUCUUGAUUUCUUUGGAUCCAUGGUUUGACUAUACAAUACAUGUCUUGUAAGUAUGUAUACUUUAUCUCCCACCUAUGAGCUCCAGAUAUUAAAGCCUUAUUAGAGUAGGGUGAGAGAGAAGACAAUGUCACUAUGCUUCAUACCACAAAUACUACAUAUCUUGAGAGAAGGCAUAUACCAUCACUGCCUUGGUAAGGAUCCAAAAAUACCACAAAAGAGAGACCUGAGAGAAUCAUACAAGGAAUUUCUGAGUUUUAUUUGAAAAUCUGCAAAAACCCCAGAGCUAUAGCUGAUCAAGAAUAAGAGACAUGACACUUGGCUAGACUGUUCUAUCUUUUAACCACUCAAGACAGAAGUGACGGUUACAAGUCCUAUGGUGUAGGUAAAGUAAGUAAGUUUUAAGUCUUAACGGUUUAUUCUAACUCAGAGAUGAGAUCUUGCUUAAAUGCGUGUGUACUUCUAAGAAAUGAAACCACUGCAGAAACUCUUGAGUUCAUCCUUGCUCAGGGACGAGCAAGAGGUAAGCUUGGGGGAGUUUGUUGACGGUCCUUAAGUAUCAAAUUUAAUUAUCAAAUAAACAAAGAAAAGGAUCCAAAUGAAAUCAACAUCUAGACUUAGGGUUUUAUCUGACAGAAUUCCACGAGUUUUGGUGUUUGUCUAUUUCUGCAGGGGGUUAUCAUGAAAUAAGGAAGAAAGGCCCACAUGUCCGGAUUACAUAGAGAUAUCAACCCACCGCGCAAUUUUCUACCAUCUAGAAGACUCCAGAAGCCACGGGAAGGAAGCGGAGCCCGAAAGGGGCCAGGCCCAGGGCGCCCGCCCUGAGGACCUGGGCACCCGCCCCCCUCUGGACUCCGUUCCGGACUCUCUUUGCACACGACGUUCCACCGACCUAUUGGAUCCAGAAUAACAUAGUACCACCUCGCCUAUCGACCCAAAAACGCAUAGAAGGGGAGGAUAUAAGGAGACCCCCUCUGGCCCCUGGAAGAGACAAGAAAUUAUCAUAGAGAUUGAGGGGUGCCCUCGAAGAAAAACCUCUUCUCUAAAUAAUAUUUCUUUUUAGGCUUAGCAACCAAUGUAAAGUAGAAAUAGAUCUUCUAGUUUCUACUAUAUUGAGAGAGAUAGAGUGGAGG